rnacentral:rRNA from 1 species
AUUGAACGCUGGCGGCAGGCCUAACACAUGCAAGUCGAACGCGUGGCGGACGGGUGAGUAAUGUCUGGGAAACUGCCCGAUGGAGGGGGAUAACUACUGGAAACGGUAGCUAAUACCGCAUACCAUCGGAUGUGCCCAGAUGGGAUUAGCUAGUAGGGGGGGUAAUGGCGCACCUAGGCGACGAUCCCUAGCUGGUCUGAGAGGAUGACCAGCCACACUGGAACGGAGAAAAGGGCCAGACUCCUACGGGAGGCAGCAGUGGGGAAGAUUGAACAAUGGGCGAAAGCCGGAUGCAGCCAUGCCGCGUGUAUGAAGAAGGCCUUAGGGUUGUAAAGUACUUUCAGCGGGGAGGCGUUACCCGCAGAAGAAGCACCGGCUAACUCCGUGCCAGCAGCCGCGGUAAUUC